AAACCGCAGGGCCCUGCAUCCCCGCCCCAGGCCAGAGCGCCCUUGGCGCUGCGCGGCCUGAGCCCCCGGGGGCUCUCCCGCGGCCCGGCCGUGCGCUAGCCGAGCGGACGCUGCGCAUCGCCGGGGGUCAGGUCCCGUCCCUGGGGCUCUGCCGCGCCGCCCGGGAGCCGGGACACGCAGGGCCGCAGAAGCCGCUGACACCCCCUCUUUCCCCCCGCACAGUCCCUCUCCUCUGGCGGGCCCUGGGAGAUCGCCGCGUCCUGAGCUGGUCCCGUACGUGUGUCAAGCCCAGAUGGCAUUGUGUCAAAACGCCCGGGGUUGGUUUUGAUCUGGCAAAUGGAACACUGUGGUGGCUGCCAGAUGGACUUCAGUGGAGCUCAAGGAGAGACCUCCCUUUCUUCGGGGUACUCUAAAGUAUUCUAAAACUUCCAAGAUGGGAAAAUCCAUAGGAGACAGGUGUUGCUGAGUGCAUCAAUGGUAAAUCUUUUUCAUUUCUGAAGGUAAGUUUUCCUGGUGGAUUCCUUUCUACUGUCGAGCAGGACCUCCUGCACCUCCCUGGAACAGGAGAGCUCUAUCUCUGACAACCAUCCAGGUACCAGGCUUUGAGUCAGAGUUUUGAGAUGGGGUGAAGAAUGUUCCCUUUGUCCCACCCGAGAAGGCUAGACAUCAAUGGUAGAUUGAUAGCCAGUCGAGAGGAGCGGUGAAGGAGAUAAGGGAACCAUACUUAUCUUGGCCAGGUUGGUGCAAUCAAAAUGCCUGUGGCUCUGUCCUGUCUGAUUUUGUUCAGGUCCCUGAGGAUUAGCAGCACUGGAGGAAAGACAUAUAGAAGGUUCUUCGACCAUGAGAGGAGAAAGUCAUCCCCCCAAGAAUGAUGACCCAGACCUCCGUUUGAGCAGAAGUUCAUGAAUCUUCAGCUGGCAACAAUGGCAAAGGGAUCUAUCGCUGGAAAACCCCAGGUCUGACUUUGUCAAAGUAGGUUGUCCUUCAAGACAUCUCAUCCAAGAAGCUGAUCCUGCAAACACUUAGAAUGUACAUCACUUCAGUUGUCAAACUGGGAUCCAACAUAAAAAUAUUCUCCGAUUUAUUUUCUUCAGUGUGAGAAGGAUGUACUACACUAAGGACAAACUCUUCCAUUCCU